AGCCCCCACAGGUGAAAUUCUAGGACUAGCUGACGUUUAACACUCGAGAAAGCAUUCAGCAAGGAUUCUCUUCGCAUCAAGCACGCAAGGAAGGGCAUCGACGUCGAUCAGAUGCAGUAGUAGUGUCCACCAUCAUUCACACGCGCUAGCGAGGAGAGACGGGCGCAUCAUCCCAGUCAUUCGCACACGAUGAGAAAUCAAAGUCCAAUGGUUCCUGGGGGAGUAGAGUUGCAAGGCUGAAGGUUAAAGGAACCGGAGGAAGCGUACCACCAAGAGUGGAGCAGGGAGUUUAAUUGGACUCAUCACAAGAACCAGACCCAGGUCCACCCGCAGUAAGGAUUGACAUCAGACGAUCCUUGUUCUUGAGUGGGUAAUGGUGCAUGGCCGUUCUUCCUGGGAGAGUGUUUUGUUUUCUCAGGUUCCCUAUCGAGAGUGGCCUCGUCAUUCUCAAUCGUUCGUCAAAGGCUUGGUAGUUCACUACAGUUUCGUAGAGGGAUGAUAGGGCAGUAACCGGAAGAAGUUGUCGCCAGUGACAAGUCGUGGAAUCCGUUAGAGGUUCUGGGCAUCACCCAAGGAGCAGUGACGCACUCAUCAAGUUAAUAUCCUAAAUACAUCCCUUCCAAAAAUUUGGGCCACAUGCCUCGUAUUGGGUAUAGAAUAUCGUAGGGUAUAAUAUUUAGUAGAGGAAUUAUCUAGUUAACCCAAGUCAUCAACAAGCAUUGAUUAGGUACCCUGCACCGUAUGUACAGCAUGC
rnacentral:rRNA from 1 species